AGUGGCGGACGGGUGAGUAAUAUAUGAGAAUAUGCCCUUCAGAGUGGGAUAGGACUUUUUAAGUUUAAUACCACAUACUCCUAACUUCAUUAGGGAAAUGGCGAAAGCCGCUGAAGGAUUAGCUCAUACCGGAUUAAGUAGUUGGUGAGGUAAAAGCUCACCAAGCGUGAUCUGUAGCUGGUUCGAGAGAAUGACCAGCCACACUGGGACUGAGAUACGGCCCAGACUUCGAUAGAAGGCAGCAGUGGGGAAUUUUGGACAAUGGGGGAAACCCUGAUCCGGGGAUGUCGUGUGAGUGAUGAAUGCCUUAUGGGUUGUAAAACUCUUUCAGUAGGGAAGAUAAUGACUGUACCUACAGAAGAAGCGCCGGCUAACUCUGUGCCAGCAGCCGCGGUAAGACAGAGGGCGCAAGCGUUGUUCGGAAUUAUUGGGCGUAAAGAAUGCGUAGGCGGUUUUGUAAGUCUUUUGUGAAAUACUAGAGCUUAACUUUAGUGCUGCAAAAGAUACUGCAAGACUUGAGAUCGGAGAGGGGUAAAUGGAAUUCUUAAUGGAGAGGUUAAAUUCACUGAUAUUAAGAGGAACACCAAAAGCGAAGGCAAUUUACUGGAACGAUAUUGACGCUGAGGCAUGAAAGUGUGGGGAGCAAACAGGAUUAGAUACCCUGGUAGUCCACACUGUAAACGAUGAGAGCUAGAUGUUGGGUUUUUUAAAUUCAGUGUCGCAGCUAACGCAAUAAGCUCUCCGCCUGAGGAGUAUAGUCGCAAGACCGAAACUCAAGGGAAUUGACGGGGACCCGCACAAGCGGUGGAACAUGUGGUUUAAUUCGAAGGUACGCGCAAAACCUUACCAGCUCUUGACUAUAGUUGAUUGUAAAUCUCAAGUAAUUGGAUUGUCACGUAAAGGUGGAUCAACUAGCAGGUGCUGCAUGGCCGUCGUCAGCUCGUGUCGUGAGAUGUUGGGUUAAGUCCCGCAACGAGCGCAACCCUCAUUCUUAGUUGCUAACAGGUAAAGCUGAGUUCUUUAAGAAGACUGACGGUGAUAAACCGUAGGAAGGUGAGGAUGACGUCAGGUACUCAUGGCCCUUAUGGGCUGGGCUACACAUGUGUUACAAUGGUGGUUACAAAAAGAAGCAAUCAUGCAAGUGUGAGCUAAUCUCAAAAAACCAUCUUAGUUCAGAUUAAUCUCUGCAACUCGGGAUUAUGAAGAUGGAAUCGCUAGUAAUCGUAGAUCAGCAUGCUACGGUGAAUACGUUCUCGGGUCUUGUACACACCGCCCGUCG
rnacentral:rRNA from 1 species